CUGGAAUCGCUAGUAAUCGCGAAUCAGAAUGUCGCGGUGAAUAUGUUCCCGGGUCUUGUACACACCGCCCGUCACACCAUGGGAGUUGGAAAUGCCCGAAGUCAGUGACCCAACCGCAAGGAGGGAGCUGCCGAAGGCAGGUCCGGUAACUGGGGUGAAGUCGUAACAAGGUACC
rnacentral:rRNA from 1 species